rnacentral:rRNA from 1 species
AGAGUUUGAUCCUGGCUCAGAUUGAACGCUGGCGGCAGGCCUAACACAUGCAAGUCGAGCGGAUGACGGGAGCUUGCUCCUUGAUUCAGCGGCGGACGGGUGAGUAAUGCCUAGGAAUCUGCCUGGUAGUGGGGGACAACGUUUCGAAAGGAACGCUAAUACCGCAUACGUCCUACGGGAGAAAGCAGGGGACCUUCGGGCCUUGCGCUAUCAGAUGAGCCUAGGUCGGAUUAGCUAGUUGGUGGGGUAAUGGCUCACCAAGGCGACGAUCCGUAACUGGUCUGAGAGGAUGAUCAGUCACACUGGAACUGAGACACGGUCCAGACUCCUACGGGAGGCAGCAGUGGGGAAUAUUGGACAAUGGGCGAAAGCCUGAUCCAGCCAUGCCGCGUGUGUGAAGAAGGUCUUCGGAUUGUAAUGCACUUUAAGUUGGGAGGAAGGGUAGUAACUUAAUACGUUGCUACUUUGACGUUACUCGCACAGUUUUAGGUCAAGACCCC